AUUGAACGCUGGCGGCAUGCCUUACACAUGCAAGUCGAACGGUAACAGGUCUUCGGCUGCUGCCGAGUGGCGAACGGGUGAGUAAUACAUCGGAACGUGCCCGAUCGUGGGGGAUAACGAAGCGAAAGCUUUGCUAAUACCGCAUACGAUCUACGGAUGAAAGCGGGGGAUCUUCGGACCUCGCGCGGACGGAGCGGCCGAUGGCAGAUUAGGUAGUUGGUGGGAUAAAAGCUUACCAAGCCGACGAUCUGUAGCUGGUCUGAGAGGAUGAUCAGCCACACUGGGACUGAGACACGGCCCAGACUCCUACGGGAGGCAGCAGUGGGGAAUUUUGGACAAUGGGCGCAAGCCUGAUCCAGCCAUGCCGCGUGCAGGAUGAAGGCCUUCGGGUUGUAAACUGCUUUUGUACGGAACGAAAAGGUGCCUUCUAAUAAAGGGCGCUCAUGACGGUACCGUAAGAAUAAGCACCGGCUAACUACGUG
rnacentral:rRNA from 1 species